UGGCGAUGUCUUCUUGAAUCAGCCAUGUAGAAAGUUUGAAGGAGUGAGACUUUGAGAAAGUGAAGAGAAAUGAAGAGAAUUUUGGCUCUAGAUUUGAUUUCAGUAGUUUCUGGAUGCAAAGAAGUGUCUAAUAAUCGAUUAUAGGGGGCUAUUUAUAAGAAAAAUAGAAAAACUAGUCGUUUAUGGUCGUUUAUAGCCGUUAUGGGACGCUCCAACGACUCUAUUUUUGAAUCUGUCAGCGUGAUAAUCGAUUAUGGCUCGUGAUAAUCGAUUAUCUGUUCAAGAGUCACUGCC
rnacentral:lncRNA from 1 species